rnacentral:tRNA from 3 species
GCGGGAUUGGCGGAAUUGGCAGACGCGCAAGACUAAGGAUCUUGUGACCGGUUUUAAGGUCGUGGAAGUUCAAGUCUUCUAUCCCGCACCA